rnacentral:rRNA from 1 species
UACGAAGGGAGCUAGCGUUGUUCGGAAUUACUGGGCGUAAAGGGCGCGUAGGCGGCUUGGCAAGUUGGAUGUGAAAGCCCUGGGCUCAACCCGGGAAUUGCAUUCAAGACUGCCUUGCUUGAAUUCGGUAGAGGUUGGUGGAAUUUCCAGUGUAGAGGUGAAAUUCGUAGAGAUUGGAAAGAACACCCGUGGCGAAGGCGGCCAACUGGACCGACAUUGACGCUGAGGCGCGAAAGCGUGGGGAGCAAACAGG